AGCCUUCUGUAUUCGUGCUGAGAUUUCGUCACCGGUCAACCUACUGGCUCUGGCUGAUGCAAUUCCUCAAAUAAGUGAAGAG
rnacentral:pre_miRNA from 1 species